rfam:Alloscardovia omnicolens F0580 genomic scaffold Scaffold92, whole genome shotgun sequence.
UGAGACCUCUGGGUGACCGCGGUUAUCCACAUGGGGAGAAAUCUCCAGAAUAACUGAGGAACUUCCGGGCUCCAUAGAGCACGAUGGCGGAUAACGUCCGCCCAGGGCAACCUGAGAGAUAGCGCAACAGAGAAUAGACCGCCUUAUAUGGCGUAGCUGUAUAAGGUAAGGGUGAAACGGUGGUGUAAGAGACCACCGGACGACUGGUAACAGAAGUCGCAUGGCAAGCCUCAUCGGGAGCAAGGUCAAGUAGAAUAUCUAAGCUGCUCGCUUGUUUGGUAUUCGGGUAGGCUGCUAGAGCUUAAUAGCAAUAUUAAGUCGAGAUGGAUGGUCACCCCUUGUAUGUCUUUUACAUACGGGGACAGAACCCGGGGUAUAUGAGGUCUCACACU